ensembl:lncRNA
AUGAUUCCGUUUCGGGCUCUCGGAUUUGUUUGUUUAAUUAUUGGCUUCAGCGCUGCAUAUGAGCCUGCAGCUGGAGCAAAUGCAGCCUCCAAAAACCACUGUUCCCGAAAAGAUUGCAAUGGAAUACAAUAUGACAUCCAAGAGGCUGCUUGCUGUGAAAACAAACUUCAUCCAGGUUCAAACCUGUUUUGUUGUGGAAAGGAGCCUUACAAUCCUGGUACAGCCACUUGUUGUAAAGUUCAACAUGGAAAGAUCCUCACAGCCAGUGUUACUCAGGGUCUGAGUGAAAAGGUGUCCAAGUGCUGUGACCUGAAGGCCUACAACCCAGUCAAUGAAAUGUGUUGUCAAUCAACCAUCAUAUCAAAACCUGGACCAAUGGCUGAAUGCUGUGUUAAAGAUGUUUUUGAUGAGGACAAGCAGUUGUGUUGUGGUCCAGCUGAUAAUAAGACAAUUCUGGUGAGGAAUUCCCGUCACCAUGAGUGCUGUGGUCACAGCCAGUACGACACUGAGACUCAGUGCUGCUGUUCAAAUGAGGAGAAGAUGGAGAUACAAUCGAAGGAUUCAUCCUGCUGUGUCAAGAAUUUCACUCCAGGCCUUUCAAGUGGAAAUACCACCUUCAACAAACCUUCACCAAAGCAUGGAUAUUGUGGUGAAGAGAUUUACGAUAUGGAAAAUAAGUUGUGUUGUGGUCCAAAUAAUGAUAAAAAGAUCCUGACAAAGAAGUCCAGAGAUCAUGUGUGCUGUCAUCAUGGCCAGUUCAACGUCAAAACUGAGUGCUGCUGUUAUAACAAUCAUAUUGCUGAAGUACAGUUGACGAAUUCAUCUUGCUGUAUGAAACAGCAGAUAUUCAAGCUCCAACCCAAAUGCACUGAACCAAACACACAUCUCUGUGGGUCGUCGUGUUACAAUCCAAAGCAAAAUCGCUGCUGUGAGAGUAACCACGAGCCUCACUCACUUGACAACUCAGGUCAAAGGAAGGCCACAGCCACCGUGUACAACCCACAUACUCAGGUCUGCUGUGAUGGACGUGUAUCUCCGUGGAAGCCUUGGAUCGAUCAGUGCUGUGGAGAGACGCCGUAUGGCUCGGCACAACGUGGAGCUCUGUCUUGUAAUAAGACCUUGUACGAGGACAGAUAUGAUGGAGAGGAAUGUUCAGAGAUGGGUAUUCCUUACAACCCGGCUAAAGGGACCAUAUGUUGUUCUCAGUUUCAUGGCAGCCCAGGACAACACUGCUGUGGGACAGAAAUUUACCGGCCUCGUACUGAGAUCUGCUGCAAUGGACACAGACAUCUGAAAUCAGAAAACAUUCACUGCUGUGGGGUCAAAGCCUACAACAUUAAAGACCCACAGAUGAAGUGCUGUGCAGGAACACUGUACAAUCUGACAUCAUUAGACAAGCAUGGAGGGGAUGCGCAGUGCUGCGGAUCCAUUCUGCAAAAGCCACAGGUAGAAUUAGUAAUGAUGUUAUGAAAAUAUGUUGUUUGUUUAUCUUAUUUGUGUAUUCCACUGUAUUAUGUCAUUAGAUUUAACACAGCUACUCCUGCCUUGAUGCAAAGUGAGAGUAGGUAUGUUGGACACCCUGUCCCAUAACUUUUCACACUGUGUGUUUUGUUUACAGUAUCCUAUCAUUGUUAAAGCGCCUCUUUCUGACUGGUGUCUUCUGCCUCUUGGUGUCAUUUCAAAAUGACGGACAAACCAUGAUUUGAUCAAUAUGAAAAUGGAAAAAAGAAACAACUGUUAAAAAGUUACCUUUCUUGAGCUUUUUAACUAUCUCAGAGUCCUGUCUGUAAUUUUGAAGCAACAUGAAUAACACUGGUAAAGGAGAGAAACUGAUAUGGGCCUGAGGGGUAAACAUUUAGGAAACCGCAACUCUCUCUCUAACUGCAUAACUGAACUACAAAUCCAAAAUAUAUUUAACUUAAGCACAGUCAGCAUAAAGUGAAUGAAAACAGCAUGCUGUAACAAGUGACUCAUCACUGGAGCUACUUGGAAACUGUUGAAAACUUUUCAUAAACAUUUAGAGCAGGGCUCUAGAGUGCGACCAAUUUGGUCGCAAAUGCGACCAAAUUUUUCAGUGGUGCGACUAAAAUAAAAUUUGGUCGCACCAAUGCAACCAAAUAUGUUCGGGUAAAAAAAAAAAAAAAAAUCUCUGCAACUCUCCGUGUGGUCAACAACAGACACACAUUAUGCCCCUAUCGUGGACUAAACCAAUCAGAGCUAGUCAGGGGCGGGACCUCUCUGAUUGGCCGUGGUCCAGUUGAAAGUGCAGGUGGAAGAGAGAGGUGAGUAGCUUGAAUAAAGCGAUAUCGAUUCAUUAACAGAUUCCACACAAAGACGUAAACACAGAGCGACCCAACGCAUCAGAAUCAGCUUUGUCUUUCUCGGCUUUCUCACCUGACGGCCCGAACACGGACACGCUGUCGUAGCUCACCGAGCCCACCGUCCGCGCUGUGUUUACAUCUUUUUGCGCUGAUUAUGAGCUGCAGGUUUUGUCUCUCCGACCAAAAUUCACCAAGCCAGCAGCAAAAGAAGCAGCAAACUGCGCUUCACAUUUGAUCAAUGUCGUCAUGAAUUCCCUCUGAGUUUUGCUGUUUUGCUUCCACCACGAUAAAAUUACACUUCAUGCACAGCUCUCUCUCUCUCUCUGUACUUCAAGAACAGUUUCCCGUCUCAAAUCUCUGUUUUCUGCAUUAUUCAUUUGCUUAUUACCCACCAGUCUACCGUUGUUUACAGCGCUGUCGGCCGCUGUCUUUUUCUUUUCUUUUUUUUUUUCACUUAAAUGACCUCGGACAAGAAAGCCUAAUUUCUGCUGUUCAAUACUGAAGAAAUUUAAACUUCUUAAAAUUGUGCAAAAUUACAGAAUAUUUUAAGGUUAUCUGCUAUAAAAAGUCAGGUCAGAAAAAUCUCCUUCAUGUUUUUCUGUGUUUUAUUCUCAGUUACUUUGACACAAAGGCAUCUGCUGUGAUGUUCACAAUUCUGAUGAAGUCUCACAUGUAUCAGUACUGAUAAAUGAUCAGAAUUAUAAUAUUUCUGACUGUCUGAGGAAAAUUGAAUCGAAUGGAUUAUAGAAAUCAGCGAUGAUACCCAGCCCUAGUGAGCAGCCUAGGCCUGACAGAAGUGGAUGUAGCUGUAAUAAGAAAAGAACUAUUGAUAACUUUUCUGUUAAGGCCUGAUCCGUCUGAAAUUCAUAGCCAGCUCUGACACGGUGCCAUCAAUCUUUGAAUGCUGAAGAAGCACAGUGUAUACAGAAAACACAUUAUAUGCUGCAAUAAAUGCACUGCCCAAGUGUCCCCUCUCCCCACUGCCUUUCAGCAGCAUGCAACAGCAAACAGGUCGUCAGCGGAGCCAAGAUGAUGAUUAAGUUUAACAUUUUCUACAAUAUUGACAAAGUAUUUUAAGCACAAGAUUGUUAGUUAAUAAUUUAGAAAUGAAUAUUAUCUGUAUGGACUGCAACUCCCCGCCCCAAAAAAGUGCACAUGUAAAACUGCGGUGUUAAGUGAUGCGGUUGAAAAAUUUGAAAAGUUAGGCGCACCUGUGCGCCCAUGGCAAAAAGUUAGUCUAGAGCCCUGAUUUAGAGGCUUUUUUAAAGCAGAAUAAUCAUCUUCUGUGUAUAUUUUAUGAUUCUUUCUGCAAAAGCUAGACUCACAACAAUUCAGUAGAGAUUAUUGGCAAAAGAAGCAAUUCUAAUCUGAACCAGCAACAAUUAUCAGGGUUGAUGAACCAUUAUAAUCAUGUCCUUUCAAAUGCUUCAUCUCUCUAUCAUGAAACUGUUUGCUGGAAGUAUUUACUGUAUAUUUGACAGUCAGACUGACUUUAGUCAAAGUAAUCUUUUAUAGUAAUCUCCAAAAAUUUUACCUGAUAUCAGCUGUGUAUCAACAUUACUGGCUGAAGUUGACUUUAUGGCUUGUCUGAACUAACACAGUGUUCAAUGAGUCCAAACAAUCAUGCUUCUAUUUAACAUAAAAUGCUAUAUAUCUUUUCAAAAACCAGGACAUUUGCUGCUCAAGUGAGGACAAAGAGGUGCUCUACUCUGCCAAAAUAGGGUUCAGAUGCUGUGGUCACCUUUACUAUAACACCACCCUGUGGUCAUGCUGUGCUGGGGGGCUGAGAAGAAUCCGUGAACCAGGACAGGAUCAGAGAAAGAUGAUUAAUGGUCUGUUGUGUCUGAUGAGAUGUUCUCUCACAAAGUUUAUCUUCAGUGUAUGUCAUAUUAUCUCAAUGCCACAGCCCAGAUUCUGUAUUUAACCAAUAAUACACCUAUAAUGUUCUUGUUUUUAGGAUCCAGACUUCUAUCUGUGAAUAAUCUGAACAAAAUCGAUCUUUGCAAAGAAAGUAAGAUAUCAUCUGUAAUUUAGAUUUUUUUUUUUUAAACAUCAGAACAAAUGCUGUUUACAAGUAUAUGUAAAGUACUUGUGUGUCUCAUUGUUUAGUGCACAUUGGGACUGUGGAAAGUGUGUCGCUGCAGAGCAUUGUGUUCAGGAGUGUGCUGAAGGUCCAUGGGAUGGAGGCCAAAGUGAAAGCUCUGCCAUUCCCUUACAUCCUGGAAAGAGAUGAUCGCUGCAGCUCCCCUAAACUGAUUGCUGGGAAGACCUACUACUUUAACAAAGUUAAUGUUUUCAUUGAUUUCAAUCAUGACUCUGUUCUUCAGUCACUCCAUUUCAUUAUUUGCAAAUGUUCAUCUCAGGUCACCACUGGCUGAUGUAUACAUGGUCAGUGUGGAUCUGUUGCUCCCUUCUUUGAACAAGUUCUCUUUUUUCACAUAUUUACUCACAGUGUUGGCUUUGUCACACAGAAAAUUAAUUAAUUACACAUCACAUUAUACUGGUUAACAUUAUUUUACAAAGUAAUUUGUUACCAUAUUUAUUACAGAGUACUUGUUGCAUUGCAACCUAAUAUACUCACCCCAAAUUACUCUCUGAUGCACCCAUCACAGUGUGAAUGUUUGCUUGAACUUAAACACAGAAAGAAGUCGUUGUAUGAAUGUGUGAAUGAGGGACGUUGUAUCAAGCGCUUUGAGUGCUCAGGUAGGGUAGAAAAGUGUUAUAUAGAAGAACCUGUCCAUUUAUCAGUAGUAUACAAUACUUCACAUGAUAUGUUGUUUAUACAUUACUCUGCCUAUGUCCAGCCAAACCAUGUUGCUCUGUUGUUAACACAUCCCAAGAUGUCUUAUCACAGACAGAAUUUAGGUACUUUAAGUAAAGAAAACAAAAAACAAUGUAGCUUUUAACUUCAGUUUUACAGGGACUCACAUUGUAGUGAUUCACACAACUUGACAUUAAUCAAUACUGUAACACAGUAAGCUGGUGCACAAUGUUGUUUCUCAAAUCUAAAUUUGAACAAAAUCUAAAUGUAACUUUGAUUCUUGCACUGAUCUAAAAUACAAGGGACAACUGUGUGCACAUGUCCUUGAACCAUACAAUUCAAUACUUGUGGUAAAGUCCAUGAUUUACUGUGAUUGUUAAUUCUAAUGAAUGAUAAACACUUAAUGCCAAUAUCAUGAAUACAAAUAUGUUAGAAGGACCCACUAAAAAUUCCAUUAGUUUCUGUUUCUUUGAAUGUGAUUCAUGUAAAAUAGUUAAUGGUAAGGAUAGGUAUGGGAAUUUAAGAAUGGUAAGGAAUCUAGUAAGGACUUGAGGGACAUUUAAGCUAUAAGCAAACAUAAACACUGCCUGCUUGAUUUAGUGACUUUGUUGUUAAUAUAAUAUAUUGCAUAUAUAUAUUGUAAAUGUUUAAUAUUUGAAUGGACCUAUUAUCCUUUAAGGAUUCAAAUAAAUAAAUACAAACACUUAUUAAACCUGCUGUGUUUUCUCUUG